rnacentral:lncRNA from 1 species
CAGCACCGCCCCACAAAACAAAAUUCAAGCCUCAACGCCGCCUUUCAAAAAUUUCGGCCUCAAGGCCACCCCACAAAACACAAUUCAGGCCUCAACACUGCCCUCCAAAAAUUUCGGCCUCAAAGCCACCCCACAAAUCACAAUUUUGGCCUCAACACCGCCCUCCAAAACAACAUUUUCGGCCUCAGCGGCACCCCAUAAAGCAAAAUCCAGGCCUUGAUUUCACCCUUCAAAAAUUCUCGGGCCUCAGCGCCCCCAGGAGAAGACCCGCGGCCCAGUGCCACUCCAAAAAGGUCAAAAAGAAGAAAGAAGAAUCAGAAAGAAAAAGUCACGACGACAAGUCGAAGAGGCCCCCGAAGGCACACGAUUGCCAAGCCAGGAGGUAACAACACCCCCCACCAAGAAAAACCUCAGGGAGAAGUCUCACCAAAGAGAUUACCUAGACCCGAUAUGAUGGGAACUGGAAGAGGUACCCCUGACUAACCAAAAAAACAUCCCCAAAACUCUCGGUGAAGCAGCUCUUGCACCUGCCAAGGGCUCUUCUACUGUCUGUUUAAGACACAUGCCUCCAAAACGUCUUGGCAAGGAUUCUAAAAUGAUGAGCUUUGACGUCAAAAACCACUUCUUUCCGAAUGUUGCACUUCUCACCUCUCUCGAAGCAUAGCAUCCAUCGAGGCAAGUUGUUAUACGUCAUUUUUAACGCACCUCAGCCCCAUCAAUCAAAUAAAGGAAGAGAGCUGGCUACAACCCGAUCACCGCAGCAUAGAAAACAUAGCCACACGAAAAACGAUAGCCGUGGAGGAAAUAAGCCCUGAAUAAAGAUGCCUACUCGAACAAGAGUAGAAGCCUUAUCCCCGUCUCCGUAUGUAUAGGAGCCGGAUAGGCAUGCCAAAUGACCGUCGUCAUCUUUCAAGAAAAAAGAAGUGGGCCUAGGCUCAAACGGACCGACCCAACGGCCCUAAGCCCGGACCAUCGUGAAGUAAGGUAGAGGCACGCCUUCUGCCGUACAGCCACACCAAACCAGUCGGUGGCCAUUAUGAUUCCUCAGCCACCCCUUGACGAGCUCACAACAUCUUCCCUGCAGCAGAAGAGUAGCUGAAAGCCUCAGACACUCACGAAAAGCUUCGACGAUAUCCCUCCCUCUGAUGAACAAGCACGAACAACAAGCCUCCUCCAUGAAAGAGAAGAAAAGGAGACUUGGGACCAUGGACACAGGAAUAUUCAGAACGACAUCUUAGCCCUUCGCAGAAGGGAACUUGACCGCGUGACAACUAAAUGCAGGAAAGAAUACUUCCAGGAAGAAAAUUCAAGUCAAACAUGAUAGGCAGCAUUCAAAUCAAAACAGAGAAAGGCACAAAACCCAAGGUCAUAGUAAUAAAAACAAGAAGAUCCCCAUUGCCGAUUUUUUUUUUUUUUGACGAUCCAUCAAAAGUCCAAGAAACAAUACAAAAGCAAAUCAAACCUCUUGCAAAAACACUGAAAGAAAACCUUCUCCAGGCUCGCAAUCAUCUCAGAAACACCACAGAGAUCAUCAAAUAGUCCGUAAAAACCAACUGAGUACUUCCACUCACAAAGGAAAUUGUUGCAAAACAAUAAAAAAAGAUCAAAAUGAUCACAAGGAAACAAACAUCAAGAAUAUAACAAUAGAUCAACCCAUCUCAUACUACAAGUAACUAGGAAGAACUCUCAAAGUUUUGACAAUGGCAGUGGGCUCCUCAGAGAAGGACGAGUUUAUCAUAUGUGCAAAAGAGUUUUAGAGCAUAUUUAUCAGUGUACCUAAUUUAGGAACUUUAUUUUAAUUCUUUUAAUUGUAUUUAUGCUUAGUUUUCGAGUACCCACCCCUGUUUGUAGAAACCUCUAUAUAAACAGGCUUAACUCACUUGUAAAAAAAGGAUUACAAUUCCAUAAAGAAGAUGCAUUACGCUUGAUUUUGCUUGUCUUUUCUCUUAGCCCUAGCAUCCCAAGGAGAGGAGAGAGAAACUUUUGUAAGAGAGGGAAAUACCCCCGACGCACAGGUAUGCACUUUUCCCUUCUUGAAGAGGUCUAUCGCUUCCGUACUUUCUCUCUUCUUCUCCCACACAUGUAAUCCCACGCAGUGCAAGACUGCGUGGACUGGAGCAAACCAAAGGAUUCGAACCAACAUGCGUCCGUGUCUAAUCUCUCUUCCUCGCUUUCACAGUCCGAUAAUAACGACAAAGUUCCCCACUUGCUUGUUCAGUUAAUAAAAAGGAGCCAACCUCGGAACGAAGAAUCAAAACAUCCAUCAAAACCUAGACUUGAGAAGAGAGAAGAGAGUUAUAGCAUUCGAAGAGAGUCCCUGACCAAACCAUGCUGGUGAACAGCCGGAGAGCUUUCGUAACUGAUCUAAGAGGGCAAACCACCUGGAUGUGUCCGACGAACCCGCAACAAUGAGGUGAGCGAAUCAUCCCUUCCCCCAUCAUAAAAGCUCUUUCUUUGUUGGUAGCCUAUCCGCACUCUAGAAAGCUGGCGCGCCUGCAACAUCUGACGCGCCAUGUGUGUGAGCCUUCGGCGGUUGUUUGAGAGGGGAUCUUCUCCCCAUGCCCCCGUACGAGGGAACCAGAGAAAAUCACGCCCUGACCACCCAUGCCAUCCGAAGGUGGUGACUCGGUGUGGGGUGUAAAAAGUCUGGUUGAGGUAAUCUCCGGUACCUGAUUUUGUUUCUUGCUUAUUUCUUUAUUGCUUU